AUUGAACGCUAGCGGGAUGCUUUACACAUGCAAGUCGAACGAGUGGCGGACGGGUGAGUAAUAUAUCGGAACCUGCCCAAUAGCGGGGGAUAACUACUCGAAAGAGUGGCUAAUACCGCAUACUAUCGGAUCAGCCCAUAUCGGAUUAGGCAGUUGGUGGGGUAAUGGCUCACCAAGGCAACGAUCCGUAGCUGGUUUGAGAGGACGACCAGCCAAACUGGGACUUAGACACGGCCCAGACUCCUACGGGAGGCAGCAGUGGGGAAUUGUGGACAAUGGGGGGAACCCUGAUCCAGCCAUUCCGCGUGUAUGAGAAGGCCUUCGGGUUGUAAAGUACUUUUGGCAGGGAAGCGGUAUCUGCAGAAUAAGCACCGGCUAACUACGUGCCAGCCGCCGCGGUAAUAC
rnacentral:rRNA from 1 species